rnacentral:tRNA from 2 species
AAGGUUUUAGCUUAAUGAAAGCAUCUGAGUUGCAUUCAGAAGAUGUGAGAUAGAGUCUUGCAAAUCUUA